AUAAUAAUUAGCCCCCUAAUUAGGGGAUAGAAUGAAUGAAUCAACAAGAAAACCACUGUCUCUUACACGCAAAAAAAAAUUUAUAAUUAGGUGAAAACGCCUAAAUCUAAUACAAAGACAAGAAGACCCUAAAAGCUUUUAAGUAACUCGCACAAUAAUCAUUUUAUCUUUUUUGUUGGGGCGACCAAUAGUUAUAAACACUUCACACCUAUAAGAUUUUAUUUAUCUCUACCACUUAGCUAAACACAUAUAAGUAAGUUACUUUAGGGAUAACAGGCUAAUUCUUUCCAAGAGUACAUAUCAACGAAAGAGCUUGG
rnacentral:rRNA from 1 species